rnacentral:rRNA from 1 species
UACGUAGGGGGCAAGCGUUAUCCGGAUUUACUGGGUGUAAAGGGAGCGUAGGUGGUUCGGCAAGUCUGAUGUGAAAGCCCGGGGCUCAACCCCGGGAUUGCAUUGGAAACUACCGAACUAGAGUGCAGGAGAGGUAAGUGGAAUUCCUAGUGUAGCGGUGAAAUGCGUAGAUAUUAGGAGGAACACCAGUGGCGAAGGCGGCUUACUGGACUGUAAAUGACACUGAGGCUCGAAAGCGUGGGGAGCAAACAGG